GUAACGCGUGGGUAACCUGCCCUGUACAGGGGGAGUAACAGUCAGAAAUGACUGCUAAUACCGCAUAAGACCACAGCACCGCAUGGUGCAGGGGUAAAAACUACCGGUGGUACAGGAUGGACCCGCGUCUGAUUAGCUGGUUGGUGAGGUAACGGCUCACCAAGGCGACGAUCAGUAGCCGGCUUGAGAGAGUGAACGGCCACAUUGGGACUGAGACACGGCCCAAACUCCUACGGGAGGCAGCAUG
rnacentral:rRNA from 1 species